CAGUGUUUAUGUUUUUAUUCAUAUACGCGGCCUAAUUUAUUUCAAUCUCGUUUUUCUUUAAUUUGUUAUUUAUAAAUACCUAGUUCUCACAAAACAUGUUCUGCAAAGCCGUAUUUUUACAACUGUAACCGAAAAGUGAAUUCGUGGUAAAAAUGCUCGUACAGCAAACAUUCCUCAACGCCAUGUAGGCCACCGAACGGGUCCCUUGAAAUGCAGAGUUCCUUCAACGCCCACUUUUCUGUCAACUAUUCGGAAAAAAACACAGCGGGUCACAUGCUCAACAUCUACCUCUUGGACUAUUGCAGGAGUGUUUACUCCAGAAAAGCACUCCGAAUUUAGUGCACUGUCUUCUCUACGGUUGCCAGUGAUAAAGCUUCUAAUUAUGUAUAGCUGUAAAUUAAUUUAUAAUGAUGCUGGAUACUGUCCUGGAGCUCAAUUUUACUCAUGAAUUGGAGGAGAAACAUACAUAAUAAUGGAGCACAGAGUUCUAAGUUUGGAAGCAUGUUUGGUUGCAUUUCCAGAUUUGAAUAUCUGAUAAGCAAUCGACUAUCACCUAGCACCGUCUCAUCGAGCAUGUAUGCGAUCUGCUCCAUUUACACCUCGGAGGUGAUUAUACGCUUCUAACUUCUGCAAUGACUUCCUGUGCUAUCUCGUAUUCGCCAAUGUGAAGCAGGAAUUGCUGGUGAAGAUAGUGGAGACGAUGCUGUGAAGGUGGUGCUGGAGUUGGCGAACCUGGCCUCGUCGACGAUUUUGCAGUUGAUUUAAUGAGGGACUGAUUUUCGCUAAAAAUGGGAGAUAUUAUGCUGCAUCCAGGAUAAGGGAAAUUUGUUAAUAUAUGGAGGAGGACCAACGCGCACUGGGAG